GACGAACGCUGGCGGCGUGCCUAAUACAUGCAAGUUGAGCGCUGAAGGUUGGUACUUGUACCAACUGGAUGAGCAGCGAACGGGUGAGUAACGCGUGGGGAAUCUGCCUUUGAGCGGGGGACAACAUUUGGAAACGAAUGCUAAUACCGCAUAAAGACUUUAAACACAAGUUUUAAGUUUGAAAGAUGCAAUUGCAUCACUCAAAGAUGAUCCCGCGUUGUAUUAGCUAGUUGGUGAGGUAAAGGCUCACCAAGGCGAUGAUACAUAGCCGACCUGAGAGGGUGAUCGGCCACAUUGGGACUGAGACCCGGCCCAAACUCCUACGGGAGGCAGCAGUAGGGAAUCUUCGGCAAUGGACGAAAGUCUGACCGAGCAACGCCGCGUGAGUGAAGAAGGUUUUCGGAUCGUAAAACUCUGUUGGUAGAGAAGAACGUUGGUGAGAGUGGAAAGCUCAUCAAGUGACGGUAACUACCCAGAAAGGGACGGCUAACUACGUG
rnacentral:rRNA from 1 species